AGGGAGAUCCUGGUUUUCCUGGUUACCCUGGUCUUCAGAGUGAGGAAGGCCAAAAGGGAACCAAAGGACAUCCGGGACAUAAAGGGAACUCAGGUCGACCGGGAAACACAGGCAGACCAGGUGAGGGAGGCGGGAAGGGAGACAAAGGAGGACCAGGACACAACG